CCUACGGGAGGCAGCAGUAGGGAAUAUUGCUCAAUGGGGGAAACCCUGAAGCAGCAACGCCGCGUGGGGGAUGAAGUUUUUCGGAUUGUAAACUCCUUUUGUUAGAGAAGAUAAUGACGGUAUCUGACGAAUAAGCACCGGCUAACUCCGUGCCAGCAGCCGCGGUAAUACGUAGGGUGCAAGCGUUACUCGGAAUCACUGGGCGUAAAGAGCGCGUAGGCGGCAGAGCAAGUCAGAUGUGAAAUCCUAGGGCUGAACCAUAGAACUGCAUUUGAAACUGUUCUGCUAGAGUAUGGGAGAGGUAGGGGGAAUUCUUGGUGUAGGGGUAAAAUCCGUAGAGAUCAAGAGGAAUACUCAUUGCGAAGGCGACCUGCUAGAACAUAACUGACGCUGAUGCGCGAAAGCGUGGGGAGCAAACAGGAUUAGAUACCCGUGUAGUC
rnacentral:rRNA from 1 species